UACGUAGGCAGCAAGCGUUGUUCGGAAUUACUGGGCGUAAAGAGUGUGUAGGCGGUGCUCUAAGUUUGGUGUGAAAUCUCCCGGCUCAACUGGGAGGGUGCGCCGAAACUGGAAUGCUUGACGUGGGAGAGGAAAGCGGAAUUCCUGGUGUAGCGGUGAAAUGCGUAGAUAUCAGGAGGAACACCUGCGGUGUAGACGGCUUUCUGGACCAUUGUUGACGCUGAGACACGAAAGCGUGGGUAGCAAACAGG
rnacentral:rRNA from 1 species